GCAACCUUAGUUGGUUUGAGUGUGGUGCUGAUAUUGCCAAGGUUGCAGGUUCGAUCCCCGUACGAGACAGCUGCA